rnacentral:rRNA from 1 species
GAUGAACGCUGGCGGCGUGCUUAACACAUGCAAGUCGAACGGUGAAGCAGAGCUUGCUCUGUGGAUCAGUGGCGAACGGGUGAGUAACACGUGAGCAACCUGCCCCUGACUCUGGGAUAAGCGCUGGAAACGGCGUCUAAUACUGGAUAUGAGCUGCGACCGCAUGGUCAGCAGUUGGAAAGAUUUUUCGGUCUGGGAUGGGCUCACGGCCUAUCAGCUUGUUGGUGAGGUAAUGGCUCACCAAGGCGUCGCCGGGUAGCCGGCCUGAGAGGGUGACCGGCCACACUGGGACUGAGACACGGCCCAGACUCCUACGGGAGGCAGCAGUGGGGAAUAUUGCACAAUGGGCGAAAGCCUGAUGCAGCAACGCCGCGUGAGGGAUGACGGCCUUCGGGUUGUAAACCUCUUUUAGCAGGGAAGAAGCGAAAGUGACGGUACCUGCAGAAAAAGCGCCGGCUAACUACGUG